AUUGAACGCUGGCGGAAUGCUUUACACAUGCAAGUCGAGCGGCAGCACGGGGGCAACCCUGGUGGCGAGCGGCGAACGGGUGAGUAAUACAUCGGAACAUGCCCAGUCGUGGGGGAUAACACUUCGAAAGAAGUGCUAAUACCGCAUACGUCCUGAGGGAGAAAGCGGGGGAUCUUCGGACCUCGCGCGAUUGGAGUGGCCGAUGUCAGAUUAGCUAGUUGGUGGGGUAAAGGCCUACCAAGGCAACGAUCUGUAGCGGGUCUGAGAGGAUGAUCAGCCCAACUGGGGCUGAGACACGGCCCAGACUCCUACGGGAGGCAGCAGUGGGGAAUUUUGGACAAUGGGGGCAACCCUGAUCCAGCCAUUCCGCGUGAGUGAAGAAGGCCUUCGGGUUGUAAAGCUCUUUCGGCAGGAACGAAACGGCGAGCUCUAACAUAGCUUGCUAAUGACGGUACCUGAAGAAGAAGCACCGGCUAACUACGUGCCAGCAGCCGCCGUAACAC
rnacentral:rRNA from 1 species